rnacentral:misc_RNA from 1 species
UCUCCGUUGGUGAACCAGCGGAGGGAUCAUUAUCGAGUUUAUAACUCCCAAACCCUAUGUGAACUUACCACUUGUUGCUUCGGCGCGCGCUUCGGGGCCGCCGAGGACACUUAAACUCUUUGUUUUUAUAAGCAUUUCUGAGUGGCCGAGAGGCAAAAUACAAAUGAAUCAAAACUUUCAACAACGGAUCUCUUGGUUCUG